rnacentral:rRNA from 1 species
UUAUGACCUGGGCUACACACGUGCUACAAUGGGAAGUACAACGAGUUGCGAAGUCGCGAGGCUAAGCUAAUCUCUUAAAGCUUCUCUCAGUUCGGAUUGCAGGCUGCAACUCGCCUGCAUGAAGCCGGAAUCGCUAGUAAUCGCGGAUCAGCACGCCGCGGUGAAUACGUUCCCGGGCCUUGUACACACCGCCCGUCACACACGAGAGUUUGUAACACCCGAAGUCGGUGAGGUAACCUUUUGGAGCCAGCCGCCUAAGGUGGGAUAGAUGAUUGGGGUGAAGUCGUAACAAGGUAGCCGUAUCGGAAGGUGCGGUUGGAUCACCUCCNNA